ensembl:lncRNA
CUGUUCCACAUAGAGAUUCACAGACGUGGUGGGAUGCACUGUGGAAUGCUGCUGACUGAGGUGUGCCAGCACCGAUUUGACAAAUGUGCCCUUUUGUGCUGCUGAGGUUCAACCACUGCCAGAAGUGUCCAAAGUGUCCUCUGUCAUCGCCAAUAACAAUUACUAAUCUGGAAUUUGGAAUGCUCUGCUGUGCCAUUCAUGAGCAGCUUUUUAGUAGUCUUGCAGCCAGGAACAAUUUAUCUGCCCAUCACUCUGAGCAGUGUGUGAGGAGGUACGUGUGGUUAAAACGUGUGGAGCAAGGUGACCACAAGUGCUUUUUGCCAGAAUUUUUUGUGCUAGCUUUUCUGAGGAGCUGUGGGAAGAACACCCAGAGCAGGGUUUGCCCAGAGCCUGUCAGGCUGCGGCCAUCAGGUUGAAGUGAUGCCUUAGCUGUAGUGCAACACCUUGUGCCACCAAUACCUGCAGGUGGGGAUGAGCUGUAAGUCAUGUGGGCUCACAAUGAUGGUACCUGUCUUGCCACUGAGCAGCAUUUCAUGGGACAAGGGUCACUCCCUUAUCCAGGUCCAUACACGUGCAAGAUUUGGGCCUUUGGCGUGGGUUCCUCUGACACGAAACAUGAGCCACUCCUUUGUCAGAUUCGUAGCACUCUGGAAAGCCCUGAACUUCUGCACAUCUCCUGGGCAGCAUUUCAAAACGUGCUGAGUGUUCUGGCAUUGUUCAGAACCAAGAGCCUCUCGUGGGGCCCUUAAGAAAUCCUGAGACUGCAGCUGGCUAUCACUCUGAUAUUACCACGAUGGAUUCCCUGAGAUCUCCUUGUCCUCAAUCUUACCUAAAUAGCAGCUCCCAAAUAGCCACAAAUUUGGGAAUGGACCAAGCCAAUCAACUACAGAAUUAUAAAUAACUCUGUUUUAUACAUACGAUGGCACUCCUUGCAUCCUAGAGAAGCGUGCAUACACUGAGUUGUUUAGAGUCUUCCCCCUUGAUCGACUGAUCGAUUUGGAUCUGGAGCACAUUCAGGAGACACGCACCCAUGAAGAUGGGUUACUGAGCAGCAAACAGGCCAACAGACAAUCACUUCUCCAGGGGCUGCACGGCUCUUCUCUGCUUCCCUCACAGCUUUCUGCUGUCUACAUUUUGUGUGAGCUACCGACUUCUGUCGUAUUGCUUGUUUCAGAACUGGUGAUGUUUGAGUUAACUCCUACAGGCGAAGCCAGGAGGCAGUCAGCAGCUUUUCAGGAUGUGUGACCUCUCCUAGCAAACUUGGAAGGGCAUCUGUUGACCAGCUCUGAUACUGUUUGUUUUGGGAGGAAGCAAGGUCUAUAAAAAGGCUUAUUACACAGUGUAAAUGAUUUUCUUUUUGCUAAGCAAAUAUUUGCAAUAUAUUUUGGGAGAUCAAGCAUUCAAAGUGAAAAAGCGUGAUACCUGCCAAGGAUGUGAGAAGCACAUAAAGGAUAUCUUAAACUGGGAGAACAUGGGAUGGUUUUACAAUCUUGAUCUAUGAGGAAACCAAUCUGAGGCCCUUUCAGCUCAAUCUCAGUCUUCAGACACCUCAGUCUAGAAAGCUUUUCACAAGCCCUCUUUGCUUCAGCAGUUCUGCUAGUUCUUUUUGCAGAAGCCAAAGUACUGUGGAACAGAGACAAAUCCUAAGACUUCAGCAAACGAGCAACGUCCUUAUACAGGACUUUCCUAGAAGGCAGUUUAUUUUACAAAGGUCUGAAGCAACAAUAAUGCCCAGUUAUGGAGAGUACACAUCUAGCUGGAUGGCAGCUCUCAGUUGUGUCAUAAUUUCUGUAUCGUUCCUUUGGCUUGAAUAAAGGUUGCAAGGAAAGUAGUUGUUUAAACUAU